rnacentral:rRNA from 1 species
UUCCGGUUGAUCCCGCCGGAGGCCACUGCUAUUGGGGUCCGCCUAAGCCAUGCGAGUCGACCGGGCUUUCCUCCUUCGGGAGGAGGGCCAGGGGCGGACGGCUCAGUAACACGUGGGUAAUCUACCCUCGGGUCGGGCAUAACCCCGGGAAACUGGGGCUAAUACCCGAUAGGUGGAGAGGUCUGGAAGGAUCCUCCGCCGAAAGCUCCGGCGCCCGAGGAUGAGCCUGCGACCGAUUAGGUAGUUGGCGGUGUAACGGACCACCAAGCCUGUGAUCGGUACGGGCAGUGGGAGCUGUAGCCCGGAGAUGGGGGCUGAGACACGGCCCCAGGCCCUACGGGGCGCAGCAGGCGCGAAAACUCCGCAAUGCUCGCAAGAGCGACGGGGGGACCCCAAGUGCCCCUGCACUGCAGGGGCUAAAUUCAUAGUGUAAACAGCUCCGCGAAUAAGGGCUGGGCAAGACCGGUGCCAGCCGCCGCGGUAACACCGGCAGCCCGAGUGGUGGCCACUUUUAUUGGGCCUAAAGCGUCCGUAGCCGGUCCGGUAAGUCCCUGUGUAAAUCCUCAGGCUCAACCUGAGGAAGUGCGGGGAUACUGCCAGACUCGGGGCCGGGAGACGCGGAGGGUACUCCAGGGGUAGCGGUGAAAUGCUGUAAUCCCUGGGGGACCACCAGUGGCGAAGGCGCUCCGUGAGAACUGGGCCCGACGGUGAGGGAC